AUUGAACGCUGGCGGCAGGCCUAACACAUGCAAGUCGAACGAGUGGCGGACGGGUGAGUAAUGUCUGGGAAAAUGUCCGAUGGAGGGGGAUAACAACUGGAAAAGGUGGAUAAUACCGCAUAUCAUCGGAUGUGCCCAGAUGGGAUUAGCUAGUGGGGGGGGGAACGGCUCACCUAGGCGACGAUCCCUCGCUGGUCUGAGAGGGUGACCAGCCACACUGGAACUGAGACACGGUCCAGACUCCGACGGGAGGCAGCAGUGGGGAAUAUUGCACAAUGGGCGCAAGCCUGAUGCAGCCAUGCCGCGUGUAUGAAGAAGGCCUUCGGGUUGUAAAGUACUUUCAGCGAGGAGGCGUUACUCGCAGAAGAAGCACCGGCUAACUCCGUGCCAGCAGCCGCGGUAAUAC
rnacentral:rRNA from 1 species